rnacentral:rRNA from 1 species
AACGAACGCUGGCGGCAUGCCUAACACAUGCAAGUCGAACGAGACCUUCGGGUCUAGUGGCGCACGGGUGCGUAACGCGGGGGAACCUGCCCUUAGGUUCGGAAGAACUCCCCGAAAGGGGUGCGAAUACCGGAUAAUGUCUUCGGACCAAAGAUUUAUCGCCUUUGGAUGGGCCCGCGUUGGAUUCGCUAGUUGGUAGGGUAAAAGCCUACCAAGGCGACGAUCCAUAGCUGGUCUGAGAGGAUGAUCAGCCACACUGGGACUGAGACACGGCCCAGACUCCUACGGGAGGCAGCAGUGGGGAAUAUUGGCCAAUGGGCGAAAGCCUGAUCCAGCAAUGCCGCGUGAGUGAUGAAGGCCUUAGGGUUGUAAAGCUCUUUUACCCGGGAUGAUAAUGACAGUACCGGGAGAAUAAGCUCCGGCUAACUCCGUG